rnacentral:rRNA from 1 species
GACGAACGCGGGCGGCGUGCUUAACACAUGCAAGUCGAACGCUGAAGCCCCAGCUUUGCUGGUGGAUGAGUGGCGAACGGGUGAGUAACACGUGAGUAACCUGCCCCCCUCUUUGGGAUAACGCCCGGAAACGGGUGCUAAUACUGGAUAUUCACUGAUCUUCGCAUGGGGGUUGGUGGAAAGGUUUUUUCUGGUGGGGGAUGGGCUCGCGGCCUAUCAGCUUGUUGGUGGGGUGAUGGCCUACCAAGGCUUUGACGGGUAACCCGGCCUGAGAGGGUGACCGGUCACAUUGGGACUGAGAUACGGCCUAGACUCCUACGGGAGGCAGCAGUGGGGAAUAUUGCACAAUGGGCGAAAGCCUGAUGCAGCGACGCCGCGUGAGGGAUGACGGCCUUCGGGUUGUAAACCUCUUUCGCUCGUGGUCAAGCCGCAGCUUUGGGUUGUGGUGAGGGUAGUGGGUAAAGAAGCGCCGGCUAACUACGUGCCAGCAGCCGCGGUAAUACGUAGGGCGCGAGCGUUGUCCGGAAUUAUUGGGCGUAAAGGGCUUGUAGGCGGUUGGUCGCGUCUGCCGUGAAAUCCUCUGGCUUAACUGGGGGCGUGCGGUGGGUACGGGCUGACUUGAGUGCGGUAGGGGAGACUGGAACUCCUGGUGUAGCGGUGGAAUGCGCAGAUAUCAGGAAGAACACCGGUGGCGAAGGCGGGUCUCUGGGCCGUUACUGACGCUGAGGAGCGAAAGCGUGGGGAGCGAACAGG